CCACUGUCCCCCUCUGGAACGAACUUCCGAGCAUAUCAGCGAAGGGAAGGAACAUAUAGUUUAUAAACUCUGCGUGAAAUGACAAAAUACAGUGCUGAUCUGCAACGAACGCUGUACUGUUCGUAUUUAUAGACCCGAUUUCUACGUUUUUCUCUGUACAUCAUGUGACUGGGCCGGCAUCAUGAGACGGUAUUUCCGACCACGAGACGAAUUGUUGUACACGUGGAACUACCAAUGCUGCACGUGCAACAUUUUGUAAUGCAAUCGUAGUGUUCUAUAUUUUCACUUUAUUCAGUUUGUAUUUUGCUGACUUGGUGUACCGUUUAAAUAUUAUUAUUGCACGAGGCGUGCAUUUGUAGGUAACAUUGUAAAUUCGAAAGCACACUGUAACAAAAACAAUUAUAUUAGUCACAACAACAAUAUAAAAAUAAAGCUGUUUGCCUGUAUAGUUCCAUACUUUUUGAAUGUUUAAUAAGUCAUUUGAGUUAUACCGUUUAAACCCACGACCUGAGCGCCUGUUAUAAGGCAGACGUAAACAAGGAGUGACGUCACACAUAUUUUCUCAGCGCGUGUUUUGUUCACUAUCACGAGACUGUAGUGGCGUGAGGCGAUUCAAUCGAAUGAUGAAAUAGUGAAUAGUAUUUUGUAGUAUAACUGAUUUUUGACGUCAUGCCGCAAAAUAACAAAUGGACACGUGUACUAACUGACAUGCAAUUUAGCCAUUGUUAUUUAUUGAGUAAUUACUGCUAAGAAAACCAGCACAUACACGCUUUAAGUUUAACGUGUUAAAAGGUGCACCAAGCAAAAUGCACUGGCACAUUAGUUUAUAAUUAUACGGACCUGAACAUAAUGUUCUUACCCAAUUAUUGUUUUCACGUAGAUUUCCACGUAUACCAGUACUGUGAAUCCGAGUCUGUAUAGCAAUUCAGCAUGACCCUUCAUCGGAAUGUACCACUUUUAGUUUAAUAAAAACAAACAGAAACCGCGCUGUUCAACGCAA